rnacentral:rRNA from 1 species
CUACGGGUGGCACCAGUGAGGAAUAUUGCGCAAUGGGCGAAAGCCUGACGCAGCGACGCCGCGUGGAGGAUGAAGGCCUUCGGGUUGUAAACUUCUGUUAAGUGGGAAGAAAUCUUUGUAAAUAAUACGUGCAAAGGAUGACGGUACCAUUAGAGAAAGCACCGGCUAAUCUCGUGCCAGCAGCCGCGGUAAUACGAGAGGUGCAAGCGUUAUUCGGAAUUACUGGGCGUAAAGGGUGUGUAGGCGGCUUAUCAAGUCUACUGUUAAAUCUUCUGGCCUAACCAGAAGCUUGCGGUGGAAACUGAUUUGCUAGAGAGCGGAAGAGAGAGGUGGAAUUCUCGGAGUAGCGGUAAAAUGCGUGGAUCUCGAGAGGAACACCAAUGGCGAAGGCAGCCUCUUGGUCCGUUUCUGACGCUGAGACACGAAAGCGUGGGGAGCGAACAGGAUUAGAUACCCCCGUAGUC